UACGUAGGGUGCGAGCGUUGUCCGGAAUUAUUGGGCGUAAAGGGCUCGUAGGCGGUUUGUCGCGUCGGGAGUGAAAACCCAGGGCUUAACCCUGGGCUGGCUUCCGAUACGGGCAGACUAGAGGUAUGCAGGGGGAGAACGGAAUUCCUGGUGUAGCGGUGAAAUGCGCAGAUAUCAGGAGGAACACCGGUGGCGAAGGCGGUUCUCUGGGCAUUACCUGACGCUGAGGAGCGAAAGUGUGGGGAGCGAACAGG
rnacentral:rRNA from 1 species